rnacentral:lncRNA from 1 species
AUGCUAGAGUUUCUGAACCUCUCUGUGACUGGACCUUUUGCAAGGUGACAUACAACACAAGAACACACAUAAACAAAAAACAAGUUGUGAAGAAGGUGACGUCCUGGUCAAGUGAUGAUGCAUAACUACACAAUGGAGAACAGCUUGAAAAUGACCAUAACGUUGAAGAGUGUUGGACUUGUAGUGUGGAAGAGCAACAACUUUGAGUGAUUUAUAGUACAUCCAGGAUUGCAUCCAUUUGUCCACCCCAGCGUGCAUUGCAUUCACAACAGUAAUUGCAUUCCUAUAUGCUUUGUGAGAAAUGGUGGGUGAGAAGAGGGGGGAGCCCCAGAUUAGAGCUCCCACAGAGGGAAAGGCUGUAGUGGAAACUCAAUGCUUGUGAUGAAGUGUGUUUCCUCCAGCUGAACUGCUGCAACACUUCACUGUAGUCUCAUGGCUGUGGUGACUAUGGGGAAAGUAGUCACAGUCUUGCCAUCUAGCCUUAAAGAUC